AAUGUUUCACAGCCGAGCGCAUCAGCUAACAGGAAACAUCAAUACAAAAACAGACAUGAAUCAUCUGAGUGAAUGUAGGGAAACUAUAAAAUCCAAAACAAAACAGAAAAAAACAGAAGAACAGUGGCGUGCACUGGAAACAGGGAGCCCAGUUGAAAACACCAAUCAGGCGCCUGGUGAUGUGACUGUGGAACUACUGUUGGAACAACAGCGGCUCGUUAACGAGCUCAUAAACGCUGUGAUUGUACGCGCCUCAAGAAAGGCAAAGGUGCCGCCGUCUGAUGAGAUUCAGCAGCGACUAUUCAUAUCUCUGUGGGCGAAAAUUAAGGGAAAAGCUAUUAACAUCAAACGACAUACAGUGAAAAGUCUGGAAAAAGCCAUUUUCAAAGAUAUUCAGAAGCAGGGUGUAGCUGUAGGAACCCCAGAGUGCACCAAGACGCUCCAGUCCUCCAGGUGGAAAGAGUAGUGGAAUAUUUGGUGAACCUGAGCCUGCUGCUCAACCACAGAGACCCAUACCUCCAGGUGGACCAACCAGCAACAUAUUUGGGCCUGCAGUCACUGCACCUGCACAAAGUCCAAGCCAAAGCCACCCAAAUAAGCCAAAGGUAGGCUGUAACAUUACCUUCCUUUCACUUUUUGACUUGUAUUUUAUGAGUUGCAGAACAUUUUUAUUCAAAGCCUGUGCAACAAAAGGACUCUUCAGUGAGGAAUACAUAGCAUUGCGACAAGCAGCACUUCAAUAAUAAUCUCUAAUAAACAGACACUAACUAAGCCCCACCCCC
ensembl:lncRNA